AGCAGAUCAGCUCACAGAGCAACAAAUGUGGCCCACACCCAUUCAAGGGAGAGAGAGAGAAAAAAAAACACAUUGCGCAUAGGUCUCCAACUUAACACUCCUGUCAACUUAACAUCAUAACAGUUGCACAAAUUCAUCACGGAAAGGGAGUUGAAAGAAAACGUAUUGCUUGACUUGGACUUGUAUUGACUGUUCAUCAUGGAGGCACCAACAACAGCAGGUACAAUAAGCCACUCGGCAUCGGAAGAGGCCUUCAGCCACAUGGUCAGUCACAUCAUAGAACUCUUCACACAGCCCUCCGUAGCUGAAGAUCUGACAACAACUUCUGCACAUAUGACUGAAACAAUCUCAGACACUUCUGUGGGAGUUCUGAGAACAACUUCUGCACAAAUGAUUGAAACAAUCUCAGACACUUCUGUGGGAGUUCUGACAACAACUUCUGCACAUAUGACUGAAACAACCUCAGAUGCUUUUUUAGUGGGAGCCGCCAUCGUAAAAGGUGUAUCCUUUGAAGUCCUUUUCGUAGGAGUCAUUCUUGUGGUGGUACUGGUGGUGGUACUGGUACUGGUGCUGGUACUGUGUCACAACGGCAAGCAUAAGGGCACUUACCACACCAACGAGGCCGAGUGUGGUGAUUCUGAUUCUGUCGACACGUAUGGUGUUGCCUCUCAAAGCGAACUUGAGAUUUUGAAUGAGGAAGAAUAGAAAGAAGUACACUUCAUUUGAAACAGGACUUUUUCCGAUUCUAAACCGGGGCCAGUUGUCAACUCAAGAUGCCAAAUAUUUUCUACGGAAUUGGUAAUGCCUAUGAUGGUCAUCUAAUUUCAAGGCAACAUUUAUAUGGGGCAUACAACCAUCUCAGCUCUACAGAUUUUGCCACGAAGAGACAGAAUCGUUAGAUCACUUAUUUUUGUAUUGCCCAUAUAUACACUAUAUAUACAAAAUUAUGUGGACACCCAUUAGUGGAUUUGGCUAUUUCAGCCACAUUACAGCCUUAUUUCCCUCAUCAAUCAAUAUAAAGAAACACUUUAAUAAACAAUUAAUAUUCAUUACAUGUGACUAACUUCAAGCUUACAAUUAGUACAGUAGUUAAACCAAUAUCAGAUUGUUGAGGUUUCGAAAAGAUGUAAAAACUAGAGAAAUUUUACAAUCCUUUUUGUCUUCCUUUUAAAAAAAAUGUUUAUACUCAAAAGAUAGUACCUUGUUUGAAUUUCUAUUAUGAGGGUGUUGAGCGAGCUUAAUGCAUAAUAAUGUAUAGCAUUGCUGAAUGUAAUAUCUGUUUUCAAUUUUUUUCUAAAUUGACGUCCAGUAGUAAUCUGAGCUUGUAAAAUGAAAUCAAGGCACAGGCAUCUUUCCUAACGCCAAACUGGAUGUUUUGGUUUUUUUGGCCUGAAGGUACCAAUAACUGAGUAAAGGAAAUGUUACGGCAAGGACCAUAAGAACACACAAAAAUACUUUCAUGAAACUUGAGACAUUUCACCUAUGACAAUACUGGGAACAAAACAGUCAAAAAAAUGUAAAUUCCCCUUCUUCUAAUGCAAGUCUCUGUAACUAAUAUAUUACCAUGUGAUUAAAGAGAAGCGACCUUGUUUUGCCUGAUGAAAACAGUGUCUAAUUAGCAGUAAAACACUUGUUCCAGAGAGGAAGGACUUUUUGUAUCAACAAGGCAACAACAGGGAAGUUUCAAAAGGAAACUGAAGACAGCCGAAUCACACUGCCCCAGCUAGGUGGAAAGGCUUCCAUGUAGUUCAGAGAGGGCAUAUCAACAGGAACGGCCUGAUAAAUGCUCAAAGUAUUAACAUCCCAAAAUACUGUAUCUGUGACUAAAUGUGGUCCAGUUUCUGUUGACGAUAAUGCAUGUCUGUUGUUCUAUCAUGUGAAAGUCCCAUUCGAUUAGCGUUGCGUAUGUAUCAAGCUACACAUUUGAUAAAUUUGCACAGUCAUGGACUAAAUUGUUUUUUUUGUUUUUUCAAAUGAAGAGUUUACUUGUAUA
ensembl:lncRNA